AGUGAGCGCUGGCGGUAGGCCUAACACAUGCAAGUCGAACGGCAGCACAGUAAGAGCUUGCUCUUACGGGUGGCGAGUGGCGGACGGGUGAGGAAUACAUCGGAAUCUACUUUUUCGUGGGGGAUAACGUAGGGAAACUUACGCUAAUACCGCAUACGACCUACGGGUGAAAGCAGGGGAUCUUCGGACCUUGCGCGAUUGAAUGAGCCGAUGUCGGAUUAGCUAGUUGGCGGGGUAAAGGCCCACCAAGGCGACGAUCCGUAGCUGGUCUGAGAGGAUGAUCAGCCACACUGGAACUGAGACACGGCCCAGACUCCUACGGGAGGCAGCAGUGGGGAAUAUUGGACAAUGGGCGCAAGCCUGAUCCAGCCAUACCGCGUGGGUGAAGAAGGCCUUCGGGUUGUAAAGCCCUUUUGUUGGGAAAGAAAAGCAGCAGGUUAAUACCCCGCUGUUCUGACGGUACCCAAAGAAUAAGCACCGGCUAACUUCGUG
rnacentral:rRNA from 1 species